AUUGAACGCUAGCGGCAGGCCUAACACAUGCAAGUCGAGCGAGCGGCGGACGGGUGAGUAAUGUAUGGGGACUGCCCGUUAGAGGGGGAUAACUACUGGAAACGGUAGCUAAUACCGCAUACUAUCGGAUAACCCAUAUGGGAUUAGCUAGUAGGUGAGUUAAUGGCUCACCUAGGCGACGAUCCCUAGCUGGUCUGAGAGAAUGAUCAGCCACACUGGGACUGAGACACGGCCCAGACUCCGAGUGAGGCAGCAGUGGGGAAUCUUGCACGAUGGGUGCAAGCCUGAUGCAGCCAUGCCGCGAGUAUGAAGAAGCCCCUAGGGUUGUAAAGUCCUUUCAGUCGGGAGGCGUUGCCUACAGACGAAGCCCCGGCUAACUCCGUGCCAGCAGCCGCGGUAAUUC
rnacentral:rRNA from 1 species